AAAGAGUAUUAUGUAGUGAAACGCGUGUUCUUGAGUACCGUAUAAGCAAAGACAUUUUCAUGUGGUCUUGAAUCGAGGAGGAACAGUUGGAGUUUUGUUCACUCCAAGUGGUUUUGCUUCAAAAGAACAAAUGUUCCCCUUUGGUAAAAUACCCUCUUAUAUUUGGACAAAAUAAGUGAUUGAAUUCGUGAUUUAUUUCGUGAAAGGUCAUAAUAAUAUGUUUGACCAUUCAAUUGCAUUUCCCUUGAUUUGCUCUAUCUAAUUAUGGGCUAAUUGAUUCACCUUCCAACUUUAUUGUCACAAAUUAAUUACCUUCUUGUUUUGGCUCAUUGACUAAAGAAUAUAUAAGACACCCUCCUUCCAAAUGACAACGUCACGGAAAAUAUUUUCUAGCUUCUCCACAAAAUUGCUUCAAACUCUUUGUUCUUCCAGUUCUUGGGCAAUGUUAAUUCGGUUCUCAAUCUACUUCUUUGCUACACCAACGAGGUAGACGUCGUGUAACCCUGGAGGUUGAUUGCUAAGAGGCCGUGUGUAUGUAACGGGGCAAAUUCAACUUUAGGGCAGUGAUGUUUUGUCACGCCACGACAUUCUCAGAUAAGGCCUUUUACAUUUUUUUACCUAUUAUUAAUCCAGAUUAUAAGUUUGUUAUGAUUCAUUUGCUAUUAGUCAUAUUUUCCUACAAUCUAAAGUUGAAUUUCGUUUUCUGUUUUUAUUAUUAUGUCUAAUAGUGAUAAUCUAGUAUCGUAUUUUAGGUUGUUCUGAGGAUUGGUGAUCGAUUUUAUGUGAUAUGAGAUUUCGGUUGCGGCAAACUGGCAAAGUCAGCAAAGAUACGAUUCAUGCGGGUUAAUAAUAUUCAAGGGUUUGAUAAUAAAAAUAUCAGAAUAUUUGUGAGGCUAGAGAUCCAAGGAUCUGCAUCACAGGUAACUAGCAUAAUGUGCAGGUAGCUAGUCCGUCCUGAAUUGCAGGUGGAGUGCGUAGAAGUGUUCUUCACUGAUCACCGAAAUGUACCAUUGGAUGGAGAUCAAACGAGUAUGUUUGAGAUCCCUGUUCGAUAAUAGAGAGUGAUGAGUCUACUCUGACGAUAAGAGUCCAUAUUGUCAGAUGAUACUAUUAUAAAAUUAUUGGUCGAUGCCUCAUUGUGGGGGUAAGAUGUUUUUUCCGUUUCUCCACAUUGUUAUUCACAAGUUACUAUGUAUGUGGAUUUUCAGGUACAAUGAGUUAAUUAUUUGACCAUGUGAAAUAA